UACGUAGGGUGCGAGCGUUGUCCGGAAUUAUUGGGCGUAAAGAGCUCGUAGGCGGUGUGUCGCGUCGGCCGUGAAAACCUGGGGCUUAACUCUGGGCGUGCGGUCGAUACGGGCAUCACUAGAGUUCGGCAGGGGAGACUGGAAUUCCUGGUGUAGCGGUGAAAUGCGCAGAUAUCAGGAGGAACACCGAUGGCGAAGGCAGGUCUCUGGGCCGAUACUGACGCUGAGGAGCGAAAGCGUGGGGAGCGAACAGG
rnacentral:rRNA from 1 species